UGCAGCUCUUGGCUUGGAAGUGACCAUUUAGCAAGUGGGUGCUUCAGGGGAACUGUUGGGCCUGGAGGUUAGGCUGUAUCCUGUGCCUCCUGGGGCUCCUAAUCAGCCGCUUGGCUCCUGGAGCUUCCAGCCUCUGGUGAAGCAAGGCUCACAGGGGUGAGGAGGAAUGUGGCACAAAUGUCACCAGUAAGCAAAGCCUCACUGUCUGGGUGUCAUCUGGCUUGUCUGUGCACUCCCGGAUCACAAUUGCAUAUGUGAAACUGGUCACAUUGGACACCAUGCUUCCACUGACCACAAGAAAACGCCUCCUGCCCCAGGACCCUGCGGGUGGUCACACUUUAGCAGUUGUGUCUGCCUGCACCACAGGAUCCUCCUCAGCAGCUUUACGCCAGCUGUCCUGGGCUUAUUUCCUCCAGGCUGGACAUGACUGUGGCCAUAUCGAAUGAGAGCAGCUGUGUCGCCCAUUGAAGACACUCGAGAGACAGGUCCAGCCUGCUGACACCCCCUUAAGAGGAAGGGAGGACCACACGGAACACAGCUCCCACACGAACCCACUCCUUCCCCACUGGCAUGUGGACUGGGGACUGGGACCCCAGGACUCUUUAGCACGCAGCUUUUCAUGAAUCAUCCUUGCUACACAUGGGACUAUUCAUAAGUUGCCCAACGUCUUUGCUGGGAGCAUCCACACGGCUGGAGAUCUUCUGUACUGGAACAACUUGGUGCUUCCUCAUGCAGCACUUGGCAUCCAUUUCAAUUCUCUCCUAAACAAGUUUGGUUCUUUGUUCAUGUGUUUAACCAGGUCACCGUAUCAUGCUCAGGUCAUCAGGGUUGGUGGAAAUUGCCUUCACCGCUGAGUAUCUUGCUGGCCCUGUUACACUGCAGUGUCUUUUCCUCUCUUGGUCUGGUACAGAUAAUCAUGCAGCCUCAGGAACCGGAUGUUAAGGGCACCACAAAAAUGGAAGAAUCUUCAGACCCAAGCCCCUGAUUGGAGAACAUCGGUCUGGGGCUUUAUGUCAACGAGAAAUUAAACUGUAUUGCAUCAAGUCACUGUACAUUUAGGAGACAUUUAUCACAAAAGCUAGCAUUACUUGAAGGCUCCAAACAUACAAAUCUCAAAUAUUUUGAGUAAACACAGCCUGUGUUUUGCACAGCAUGCCAUGAGAUCCAGGCACCUGUAAGCAGCUGACUGUGGCUGAAACUUCACUGCAGACACGGCAGGUUUUAUAUACAUGCCCGGAAGAGUGGCUCUUCACAGGGUUCCCUGGCCAAGACUAAUUAAAGCCACUACUGAUACAACAG
rnacentral:lncRNA from 1 species